rnacentral:rRNA from 1 species
UGAGGAAUUUUGCGCAAUGGCCGCAAGGCUGACGCAGCAACGCCGCGUGGGUGAUGAAGGCCUUCGGGUCGUAAAGCCCUGUCAGGUGGGAAGAAAGGCCUUAAGGAGAAAGACUUGAGGUUUGACGGUACCACCAGAGGAAGCACUGGCUAACUCCGUGCCAGCAGCCGCGGUAAUACGGAGGGUGCGAACGUUAUUCGGAAUUACUGGGCGUAAAGCGCGUGUAGGCGGGGGGACAAGUCUGAUGUGAAAGCCCUGGGCUUAACCUGGGAAGCGCAGUGGAAACUGUUUUUCUUGAGUACUGGGGAGGAAGGGGGAAUUCCCGGUGUAGAGGUGAAAUUCGUAGAGAUCGGGAGGAAUACCAGUGGCGUAGGCGCCCUUCUGGACGGUAACUGACGCUGAGACGCGAAAGCGUGGGGAGCAA